CUUUCUUGUAAUGUAAAUGUUUUCCUUCAUUUGUAGGACAAGAAAAGUGUCUUCCUGAUGAUGAGAGUUCUUGCCAUGGUCUCUGUUAUUUUUGAGAAGCCAGACUAAGCUUGUGCGGCAGCCAAUGCAUUUUGUCAAAGGAAAAAAAUUGUUAAAGGGCACUAUCAUUUUACAGAUUUUGACAAACCGUUUUGGAUUUUUCUGUGUUCUAGACCUAUCUGACAAUUGCUUAGGUUGGAUGUUCUUUUUAUGCUGGAUUGUUUGCAGUUUCUUCGAAUAUGUAAGCAGUAGGUGCUUUAUCUGUCAUUAACAAGAAAAGGAUUGUGUUGCAACAGGAAGCAAAUUUAAAAAGGAAAAAAAAUAAACAUUUCACAGGCCGAUGCGGAAUUGAAAUGGUGACAAUGUUUUAGUCAAUUUGCUACAACCUUUUACCAUCACCCAAUAAGGAACAUAUACAUUUAUUACAAAAAAAAAUAUAUACAUGUGUUUCUUACUUUUUUAUUGCAGGAAAUAAUUUUUCAAAAAUAUUCACAAUGGUAUUAGAUCAACAAUCAGAGUUCUAUAGUUAAAAAAGAAACGUGAAACCUUACCGUCUGUGACUGCAUCUUCAACGAUAUUGUUGCUUUUUCUUCUUUUGGAAUGUUUGAGUUGAUGAUUUCAUAUAAAUACUUAUUGUGAUGGUAAAAAGAAUACACUGCGAAGAGUAGAAGGUUGGUCAGGAAUACAAGAGCAUAAAUUCCUUGACUGGAUGCCAUAAACAAGUAAUCUCUUUUGCCGCUCAUAUGAACGCCACAACGAACGACCAUUGCCAGCAAAACCUACGAGAAGGACCUACAAGUACAAUACAGGUCAUCUCUCGAAAACUCGGAUUCUUUCCUCCUUAAUUGUAGUUUGCAUCAACUGAAUCUUUCACAUACUUUUAGGUCUCUUAAAACUGGAAUAUAAUAUAAAAGGGACCUGAACUUUUAUUAAAGGCCCCAAAAAAGGCUUUAUUUGGAUAUUUGUUAAAUCAAGGCUUUAUCCAGGAAUUAGUCGGGUCUUGUAACUUGGGGAUGCACACAAGAAACUAGAUAUUUUUGGUUGCCUUUAAUUUUGUUCUUUCUUUUGCCUGUUUGUACCAGCUUGGAACAAAUUCUGUUUUCCUGAGGUUUUGUUUUGCUUAUGAGUCCCGGCAGUGGGCCCAUGAAAGAGUGUGGAUACAGUGAAAUUAAUACUCGUGGCACCUCCCCCAUGGAGUCUCCUCCUAAAAAGAAAGCUGCUGCACAGAAGAAAUGGGAGGUUUUCCCAGGUAGGAACAAAUUUUUUUGCGAUGGCAGGAUAAUGAUGGCCAAGCAAACUGGAGUCUUCUACCUCACCCUGAUCCUUAUCCUGCUAACCAGUGGACUCUUCUUUGCCUUUGAGUAAGUGUCAUUACUUCUGUGUGUGUAUCUUAAUUUACAUAAAAUGUUUGUAAACUAAAAUAGUCUAAAAUGUUUUGAUGGAUAUUACAUUUUCUGUAU